rnacentral:lncRNA from 1 species
UUGUUAUUUUGAUAAGUUCGAAAUAACACCCUUUAAGGCCAAGAGGGCCUUCACCAAAAAAGAGAAGGGUUCAACCUUGAUUGAAUACCGAUGGGCUAUUAUUUCGAUAAGUUUGAAAUAACACCCUUUAUGGCCAAGGGUCUUCUCCAAAAAAAGAUAAGGGUUCGACCUCGGUCGAACAAUGACGUGCUGUUAUUUUGAUAUGUUUGAAAAAACAUCCUUUAUGCCCAAGGGCCUUCGCCAAAAAAGAGAAGGGUUCGACCUCAAUCGAACUAUGACGGGUUGUUAUUUCGAUAAGUUUGAAAUAACACCCUUUAAGGCCAAGGGCCUUCCCCAAAAAAGUGAAGGGUUCGACCUCGGUCGAACAAUGACGGGCUGUUAUUUUGAUAAGUUCGAAAUAACACCCUUUAAUUCGAAGGGCCUUCGACAAAAAAGAGAAGGGUAUAACCUCGAUCAAGCAAUGACAGGCUGUUAUUUCGCUAAGUUCGAAAUAACACCCUUUAAGGCCAAGGGCCUACGCCAAAAAAGAGAAGGGUUCGACCUCGAUCGAACGAUGAUGGGCUGUUAUUUUGAUAU